rnacentral:misc_RNA from 1 species
UUAAUUCCCCCAACGCAAUAAAAAAUUAAAGAAAAAAAAAUGAAAGGAAUGGGAAAAUUUUCCCCCUCUUGAUGAUGAUGUGGUCGUAACUCACCACGUUCAUCCGGAAUAAAAUCAAACAUGUAGGAGAAGACAAGGAUAAUUUCAUCGCACCAUUUCUCGAGAUAGACUAAAAACAUUAUUGGUUCAGCUGUGUUUCUUCUUGUCCCCAUGUUUUACCCCGAAGCAUGUCUGUAAAACCACCCAUCAUGAUACGCCUGAACCUCGUGUCUUCUGUUGGUGAAGGUUGCGCAGCCUUUGGAGACUCAGGUGUUGGUGGCUGAUGGUCUGGAGCUUCUUUCUUUCCCAACAGCCCACUUUCUCCAAAGAAACUAGUGACUGACGAUGCUAUCCCAAGAUGAGCACCCAUCACCUUGCUAAUGGUCUCAAACGUUCCGCCUGAUCUUUCUUUCAUUAUUAUCUCAAGGGCUUCUUUGUGUGCUGGAUCUAAUGCAUCUGGAUCUUUUAACAGGUUUGUUAUAGCAGGGAGGAGGAAUUCCCGCACACUAGUUGCCGAAAGAUCUGUAGCGUCCAAGGCACGGAUUGAUUCACAGAAUGCAUUAGCUCUCUCACGGCAACGCAGGACAUCGUUUGUGGAAGCUGGUGUGGCUGUAAAUUGAAAAAUCUUGGAAAGAAGAUAAUCUCUGAGUCUCUCUGUUGUGUGAGGUAUUGCUACCAGUAACCCACGGACAACAGCAACAGUAGCUUCAUGGGAUCCAUCUUCAAGAAAAGCAUCCAUUUGAACACGAAUUUUAUCAACUAUCAUGUCGUUUUUAAAAUGUUCUGCCACAGCUCCAAACGCAUCUAUGCUGGCAUACUUCACAAUUGAGUUUGGAUCAGAGCCAAGAGUAACUAGGGCAGGCAAAACAUGGGUAGAAACAACUUUUGCAUCAAUAUGCGGCACUAUGACUUUCAACAGAUGGACCGCAUUGAUUUUCAUAUCUAUGUUGGAGCUAACAACCAUUUCCCAUAAAAUAUUGAAUAUCAUACUAUGAUGCUGUUCAGUAGUGCAAAGAAAACGGAUAGCGUUAAUAAUCUCAGCAUUGUAUUUUGUUGAUUGAUUUUCUUUUAGGGAGCUGUCAACUAGCAACUUUCUCAAGUAGCCUGCUAGUUGUUCAUGCUUGCUGGGAGCACCUAGAACACCUGCCAAGAGAAGUGGCAGAACACACAUUGUAGCAAGCCUCUCGGCCACAGCAGUUUUUGGUCUCAAACCUUCGAUUGUUGAAUGAAUGGCAGUCGGAAAAUAUGUUAAAUCUGCAUUGUCCCCAACUGCUACUAAGAACACAGGCAUCAUUAUGUGCA